CAGCCACAUCACAUUGAAACAGCAGUUCCCAUACAAUCACCAAAAUUAAGCAAUGCCGAGCCAGGUCAGUACCUAGAUGGGUGACCACUUGGGAAUACCAGGUGCUGUAAG